AAUGAAUAAUUAAUAUAAUUAAGCCCAACCGCGUCCGGAUUUACAACCAAAACUAAAAUGGCGUCAAUUGCAGAAAAACCCGAAGAUACAAACACCCAGAUAAAAGAUCUUCCUGUAAAUCAGUGUCCUUCUGUGAGACAUCUGGAGGCUCUUGAUGGCAAAAUCUCUGACAGACAAGAGCAGAUCGAGCUCUGCAAUAUGAUCCUAAACGACCUGCUGGAAAUCCAGAAAAUAGUUGCUGAAAGAGGACUUGAGAACACAUCAUGUGGAGACCCGGAUAACUGAGCGGUUUCACUACGAUUAUGAUUUGAAAUCUCUACAAGUGUGUGUGUGUGUGUGUGUGUGUGUGUAUAAAUAAAAUCUUGAUGUUAAAGUGU